UACGAAGGGGGGCUAGCGUUUGCUCGGAAUCACUGGGCGUAAAAGGGUGCGUAGGCGGGUCUUUUAAGUCAGGGGGUGAAAUCCUGGAGCUCAACUCCAGAACUGCCUUUGAUACUGAAGAUCUUGAGUUCGGGAGAGGUGAGUGGAACUGCGAGUGUAGAGGUGAAAUCGUAGAUAUUCGCAAGAACACCAGUGGCGAAGGCGGCUCACUGGCCCGAUACUGACGCUGAGGCACGAAAGCGUGGGGAGCAAACAGGG
rnacentral:rRNA from 1 species